rnacentral:rRNA from 1 species
UACGUAGGGUGCAAGCGUUGUCCGGAAUUAUUGGGCGUAAAGAGCUCGUAGGCGGUGUGUCGCGUCGGCCGUGAAAACCUGCAGCUUAACUGUGGGCGUGCGGUCGAUACGGGCAUCACUGGAGUUCGGCAGGGGAGACUGGAAUUCCUGGUGUAGCGGUGAAAUGCGCAGAUAUCAGGAGGAACACCAGUGGCGAAGGCGGUUAGCUGGGCAGUUGCUGACACUGAUGCGCGACAGCGUGGGGAGCAAACAGG